rnacentral:rRNA from 1 species
GUAGUCAUAUGCUUGUCUCAAAGAUUAAGCCAUGCAUGUCUAAGUAUAAGCAAUUAUACCGUGAAACUGCGAAUGGCUCAUUAAAUCAGUUAUCGUUUAUUUGAUAGUACCUUACUACUUGGAUAACCGUGGUAAUUCUAGAGCUAAUACAUGCUAAAAACCCCGACUUCGGAAGGGGUGUAUUUAUUAGAUAAAAAACCAAUGCCCUCCGGGGCUCCUUGGUGAUUCAUGAUAACUUCUCAGAUCGCAUGGCCUUGCGCCAGCGACGGUUCAUUCAAAUUUCUGCCCUAUCAACUUUCGAUGGUAAGGUAUUGGCUUACCAUGGUUUCAACGGGUAACGGGGAAU